UGCCAUGCCAUAUGUAUUAUAUACCCACAUAUAUACAUAUACGUAUAUACGCAUAUACAUACAUACAUACACACACAUGUAUGUAUGUGUGUAAGGAAACAGUUGCAUGCAUCUAUAAAAAAGGUUCGAAAGAACAUGUUAUUGUAGAUGGAUGUUGACGAGACAGACAAAACUCGUCAAGUUUAAACAUAAAGGACAACGCCUGAAAAUGGGUAUAAAGAUAAAGGACAAUCCUUGAAAUUCACUCUAUUUAUAUAUUAAUAAUUAUAAUUGUAUAAAAAAUCAUAAUAAAAUUAAAUAAAUUAUAUUCAUAUAAAUUUUACUCAACUUAUAUUAUAAAUAGGUAUGUAACCAAUUAUAAAAAUAUAUAAAUAAAAUAAUAAAGUAUUUUAUAAAGAAUAAGCAAGCUCAUGGCUCCGCAUGUUUAUAUCCCUAUGUGCAAUUAUGGAUAUUUUAACCUCCUAUAUGUAUUACUAAGUGUUUGCUUUUAGGUAACAAAUCGAUAUCUAGUAUCCCAACAUGAAACGGAGACUUUGUUGGGACCUGUUUUACAUGACAAUGGUAAAACAAAUAAUUUUUAAAACCGAAAGUCGAAACCAUAUAUUCACAGCACCUAUAACAAAGUUGGCUAUAAGACGGGGUGGUGUAGGCUAGCGUCCUGUGCCAUAUAAGCAUGAUGAAGCUCCCAACACUGAUGCCUGGACGCCUUUGAUGGAAUCGUUGUGAUGUUAGCGAGCGCCAUGAGUGGGGAAUAAUGGAUUUAAUUAUGAAAUUGAACAUUAGCAAUGCUCAUGUUUAUAAAAAUAA
rnacentral:lncRNA from 1 species